UACGUAGGCAGCGAGCGUUGUUCGGAGUUACUGGGCGUAAAGGCGUGCGUAGGUGGUUCGUUAAGAUCUGAUGUGAAAGCCCUGGGCUCAACCUGGGAAUGGCAUUUGGAUACUGGCGACCUAGAGUGCGGGUAGAGGGGUGUGGCAAAUUCCCGGUGUAGCGGUAGAAAUGCGCAGAUAGUCGGGAGGAACACCAGUGGCGAAGGCGGCACUCUGGGCCAGUACUGACACGUGAGGAGCGAAAGCGAUGGGGAGCGAACGAG
rnacentral:rRNA from 1 species